rnacentral:lncRNA from 1 species
GUUGGACUCGAUGGACUUUAAGGGUCCCUUCCAACUCAAACAGUUGUAUGACUUUUCCUGUUUAGCACUAACGACAGCAACUCGCUCCGUAGAAGAAAAGUCCUCGAAGCUCUCAGCAAUUUGAUGCUGUCACCAUCUGGUGUCACCCAGGAACACAGCGACUGCAUCCCACGGGCUACACAGGUGGGAGGCCACAGCAACUCGAGGCUUCUGGGGCCGAGCAGAUUUCUGAGGCAAGAAACACAAAGCCUGGGGAGCAGUGUGAGCGUGAGGCGGUCAAAGCAGGAGCAAGAAGGGAAGUUGCUGCUGGAAGGCCUUCAGGCCUGCCCGAGCAGGUGGGAGAGCCGGGCCCGAGGCGCAGCAGGCGGCAUGGCGGCCUCAGGUGGUGCAAGAGCCAGGGGAGCCGACCGCCCCGAGGCCGCGGCCUGCCCCGCGCACCGCCCUGCAGCAGCCGGCAGCCCUCCGCUACCCGAGCCCACAGCGCGGGGACGGCGCGGCGCUGCAGUGCCGCCCACGCCCGUUCUGCCUCCGCACAGCGGGGAGGACAGAAACUUCAGCCGGCUUCUGUCCCGGCACCCCCCGGCACUGCAGGGCGGAGAGGCAGCUGGGGCAGGGAGGGCUCUCCUCUCCCCCACGCCGCCCUCGCACCCGGCUCUCCCGACGAGCUCUUCUCUGUUCACUUUGGAGCAGCCCCCCCUCACACCCCCCGCCGAGGGAAGCGGACCUACCUGCGGCUCCAGCAGCCAGCUCCCCUGCGGCCCGCUUCGGGCUGCCCCCCUGUACUUGAAAGCGGAAUAAAGAGGGAUUUUGUCCUUGGUGCUGUAGAGGGUCGCAAAGCGCGGCUCCCCGUUGUACUGCUGACAGAUCUUCACGUGGAAGGGCUCUGUGAAUCCUUCCGGCGGGACCCGGCCGGGAAAGAAAGCGUUACACUCGGCAAAACCGGCUUCGUCCUUGCCGACGACUCUGCCCAGGGAAAAGCUCGGGAAAAGCGACACGCAGAGCAGACACAGCACUGACAUCUUCACGGCCCGCUCCAUCCGGGCUGAGAGCGGCGCAGGUCUGGAGGUGCGGAGAGAGAGGCGAACCCCGGCGGGCGGCGGUCCCUGAGGGCAGCGGGCGCUGCUGCCGGCGGCGGCCACGGGCGGUGCCGCGCUCACGCCCGCCGGAACGCCGGGCAACCCGAAAUCAUCGCGGCUCGUUGGGAGGAGGAGGAGGAGGAGGAGGAGGAGGGAAGCCCUCGGCGGUGCCGUAUGUAGCAGCGGGGUGUGGUGUCUGCAUUGCAGCACAGUCCCCGGGAGGAAUUUGGGCUGACGCAGCCAGAACUGUUCCUGGGGCUGCCGGGGGGGAUGCCGCAAAGUCAGCUUCGGCGCCCAGAAGAAGGGGAGAGCUGCCGUCCGCAGCCCCCAGCCUGGCCGAGGGAGAGGAAGGAAAGGGAGAGGGGGGGGAGUUGGGGAGGAGAGGCUGCGGGAUGUCAGCGACGCCGGGAAUACGCCGUGCCCCUCUGCGGGGUGUCCUCUAUUGCUGCCAGCGCCGUGCCCAUGCGUGGCCAAACGUAGAGCUGGCCAAAAUAAUAACACAAGGAAUGAAACCACUCCUCGAGUUUACGAUCGGCUGUCACCUGCCUGUGAGCCUACAGCAGCUACUGCUGGGCUGAUGGGUAAAAGAAUGGCUGUGGUAAGUGGGAAAGUUAAUGUUUUCACAGCAGUGGGGUGGAGAGACUACAGAGUAUCUCCUCGAGAUGAAGAAAAGCUGCCUUUCCCCACUCUAGAAGCUGGCAACGAUCAGAUACACUGCCAAUAACACACUUAAGAAAGCCAAGGUGCCAUAGAGGACGCUGUCAUACAAAGCUGUCGCAUUGCUACAGCGAUUUCCAAGCAGGAGUCCCCAAGUGCCACCGAUUCUCAGCUGCUCUGCAAGAGAGGCUACACGGCACACACAGCCUGCACUGCGAGCAGUGCCAUGGGACGGAGGGCUGCCGAGGCGCCCGCCCGAGGUCAGGGAAGGAGCCUGGAAAAGUGCUAAAAAUAGCCCGGGCUCUAAGACACAUUUCUGCACUUGGGGAUGGCUUCUUGAAACAGCAUAGCAAAGAAAUACGUCAGUGCCUUUUCAUGUGAUGUUAUCAGCUUGGGGAGACAGAGGCAGGCUGGACAGGCUGGGGAAUGGCAGGAAAUGCAGCCAGUGGCUUGUUUGGUUUCCAGGCAGUGGCCUGGUCGCUCAGCCCUGGCAGAAAGAAUUAGUCAUGUGCAGAAAGAUGAUGGGAAUGGAAACACGUGCAUGGCCCAGCCAGAGCACAGCAGCUCCAAAAGACAGCCUCAACAUUUCAUUUCCCUGGAUGUAAAAAAGGCUACUGGGAAACUGAGAGCUGAAGCUGAACUUGAGCUGUUUGGUGUUUAUCUGAUCCCAGGCUUGCAAUUAUCUGGGCAACAGAAGGAAAUAUUUUCCCCAUGCGUUGAGCCAUAUUCUACAGGGAAAGCAAGGCAACGCGGUGCUUCUAAGCAUCCCACUCCGACUGAUCUUCAUUAUCCCAAGCUGGGCAGGAUCCCAACCCAGUGUGAAGGCGGGUCGGGCUGCCUGAAGAUGGGCACGACAGCCAGCAGCAUGCUGAGCAGGGGGAUCCUUCCACCAGGAAACAGAGACGUCCUGCCUCCAAGGGCACCUCGGCCUCACUGUGAUGCAUCAGCACCCUUCCCAGUCUCAAAGGCCUCUUAUCUGCUUUUGGGGAACUUUCUUUCUGGGCUUUGAGGCUGGCCUACGCCUGCCUAUUUUUUGCUGCAUGUACCAGCAUGUAAGUAGCACUAGACAGCCUAAAGAGGGCUCAGGAUCUCUUUUUCCAUGCUGACUAUCAAUAUGGGUGCCAGCAUGGACCAAGGGAUGAUACUGCCAUGAAGCCAAUGAGGUUGGCACUGAAGGCAAGUAGUUGUGCUUGAUGUGAUAGAGAAUAGGGAGCCUGUGGAUGGUACAAAGAGACAGAUGAUCAUAGAAUCAUAGAAUCAUUUGAGUUGGAAGGCACCCUUAAAGACUGUCUCCCCUGCAAUGAACAGGGACACCUACAGCUCCAUCAGGUGCUCACAGCCCCAUCCACCCUGACCUUGAGUGUCUUCAGCGAUGGGGCAUCCACCACCUCUCUGGGCAGUCAAAGGGACAAGGGAAAGGUGAUGUAUUAGCAGCACAUAAAAGUGGAUGGGACAAGAGGAGAGGCUGCACAGCAGAGAUCGCAUGCAUGCUGGAUUUGCAAGGCAUACCAGAGAGAAAAUGGGGAGAAGUGAUUUGUGACAGAUUUUGGACAAAGGGCAAGAAAAGAGGCUCUAGAAAAUGGUGUUGACCGGGAGGAAGAGAAGGAGAUUGAGCAAAAAUUAAUUGACGAGAUACUAAGGAAAGCUUAAGAAGGGAAAUGGAUAGAAAGAUAUGAAGAAACCCAGGAGGGAGAACGGGAGGGGUCAAAUGAACAGAUGGGAGGGAGCUGAGGAAAGCUGUUUUCUUCUGUGAUAAGAAAAUGAGGAGAACAACAUGAAGAUGGGGAAAUGAGACAGAAAGGAGGCUUUCAUCCAUCUUCAUUGACCUAGUGAGGAUGACCUCCUCUUCCCAAGGGUCUCAAGCAUCAAGACCAAACGAUCCUGAAAAACAUGCCAGUGUUCAGCCCUGUAACAACAGGAAGCCACUGGCUUGUCUGCCCCCUUUCCCACACUGUGCUUCCAGCCCAGUCUCACUGUUCACAUGAUUGACACUGAGUUUGCUGCAAAUAACUCCUUUCUCCUCACAUGCCUGACCCUGCUAGCUUACACUUUCCAAACAUACUUGACUCCAAAUAUUUCUCCAGGGCAGAUCUCUUGUCUCCUGCUAUGAGCUCUGGGUGGGCUGCCAGACUGUAUGUAACUGUCCCAUUCUUUUGGGAACAAAAAGGAAGAAGAAAGUGAUUCAGUGGAGACACCACUGUCAAAGAUUUGGCUGAGAGUGCGGCAGUCCCAGCAGACACGCCACUGCAUGUCAGAGAGCACAUCUGCCUCUUCCUUGUCUCAUGGGGAUGGAGUUUCUUGCUAAAAUUAACUCAAAAGCAUGGUCUGGGAAAGGAGCCCAGUGCUGAGCUAGGGAGAAAAGAAAAACCGAAGCAGUUUCUGUGUUAAAAUGAAGAGAUUCAAGGAUGGGAGGAAGAGAGGUAGAAGGAGAACAAUCAUCUCUUUGGGGAAGAGCUUAGCAAUGCACUGUUGCAAUUUUGAUUCCCACCUUAAGCCAGGUCUUUGUGCCACUCUCUGCUGCCUGCUUGUUAGAUGCUCACACAGCCAUCUUCACACUUUCCCCAUGGUGCCCCUCGUGCUGGUGAGGUGUCAGCAUCACCAACAGUGCUGCUUCAUUGCCCUCUUCUUGCCAUGAUUCUCACAGCACAGGGUGCACCAGUGAGAGUAAUGGCCUCAAGUUGCACCAAGGGAGGUUCAGGUUGGGUAUCAGGAAACAUUUCUUCCUAAAAGAGUGGUGAGGCUGCCCAGGGAGUUGGUGCAGUCACUGUCCCUGGAGGUGUUCAAGAACUGUGGAGAUGUGACACUGAGGGACGUGGUGUGUGGGCGUGGUGGCGAUGGGCUGACGGCUGGACUUGGUGAUCUUAGUGGUCUUUUCCAAUCUUAAUGCUUCCAUAAUUCUAUGAGAGACAACCAGACACCUCGAGGUCAGGGUGUCAGGGAUGCAGACUUGCAUAUAUUGAUUAAAAGCAAUAAAAUCCAGAGACCACAUCCUUCAGCACUUCAUCAUAGUCUUCAGACUCAAGAAAUCUCUACUAAUUGAAGGAACUAGGAAACAAGACAAGAGGAGUGGCUGAGGAAUGUGAGAUUGUUUGGUUAGGAGGAGAGUAGGCUGAACUCCCUACAACUGCCUGGAAGGAGGUUGCAGUAACGUGGGUGUUGGUCUCUUUUCUCAGUUGACAAGUGACAGUGAUGCAAGGAAACAGCCUCCAGUAGCAGCAGAGGAGGUUUAGAGUGGAUUUACUCAUCAGUAGGGUGGUCAAGCAUUGGAACGGGCUGCCCGUGGUGGAGUCAUCAUCCCUGGAGGUAUUUUGUGUAGAGGUGACACUGAAGGACGUGGUUUAGUGAUGGGACUCAGCAGGUCACGUUGAUAGCUGGACUUGGUGCUCUUGAAGAUCUUUUCCAACCUGGAUAAUUCUAUGGAUCUGUGACAACCUCCAGGCUGUUAGAGACAAGCACAACAAAAAUCCAGUGUUUGACAGCCCAAGUCCUGGAGAAGAGAAGACUGUGGGGUGACCUCAUUGCAGCCUUUCAGUACCUAAAGGGAGCCUAUAAACAGCAGGGGAGUCAACUCUUUGAAAAGGUAGAUAGUAGCAGGACAAGGCGAAAUGGUUUUAAGUUGAAGUAGGGAAGAUUUAGCUUGGAUAUCAGAGGGAAGUUCUUUACCAAGAGGGUGGUGAGUUGCUGGAACAGGCUGUCCAGAGAGGUUGUGGAUGCCCCAUCCCUGGAGGUGUUCAAGGCCAGGUUGGACGGGGCCCUGGGCAGCCUGAUCUAGUACUAGAUAGUUGGUGGCCCUGCCUGUGGUGGGGAGGUUGCAGCUUGAUGAUCCUGGAGGUCCCGUCCAACCCAAGCCAUUCCAUGAUUCUAUGAUAAGCUGGAUAGAUUUAGAUUUUGAUAGUACAUGGCAAUAUUUUUAAUAGUGUGAAUUUUCGCUAUAGAAAUGAGUUAUUUAAAGACGUGCUGAAAGCUCAACAAUACAACUCUUGAAACCAAGAUUAAAAGAGAUGAUAGUUUGUGUGACCUUUGCUUUACAGUCAGUUUGCACAGCCCCAGCAGUUCUUUCACAUCUUAAAUUUGUUUGGGACGAGAAAGUCACUUGAAUGCUGUUCUUCUAUGCACUACUGCUUACUUUUCCUCAUUGUCAGUAUUUGAUGUUUUCAUAAGCCCCGUGUGGCUCAGCCAGUGCUGAGACUGUGCUGUGCCAGGUGCUGUGUGGAAGCAAGGCGUGAGGCAGCUCCUUACAGGCUGCACUGGCAGAAAACCCAUGGGUGGGACUGCAAUGAGAGGUACAGGCUUGUUGCACUUACAUCAUCUCUGGAGAGGGAAUGAGAAAGCCAUGAUCUUUGAGAAAGCUAAACCUGCUGGCGGGGCCCAGCUGUAAUCAGGAGGCAGACAGCAGCCACACCCAGGGCUGUCUCCAGCAAUAUUUGGGCACUGAGGAGUGAGAGGAGGAGCGACGUGUUCUGCAUUAAAGGCUUGGCCAGCACAGUGGGGAGCAGCAUGAGAUAAGGGGGAAAGGUGAGUGCUGUGGGGCCAGGCAGUGUGCUUUGCUUACCUGCCUUCACAGAACAAUGAUGGAGAUGGCCUCAGGAAGUCACUCUGUAGCCCAUGUGGCACUGCAGGGAUAGGGGGCUUAUCCCAUGUGGCUAUGUGAGGAUGAGACAGCAUCCCUGAAACAUGAGCAGGAGCUCCUUCAAAACGGACUCACUGACCAUGGAAGAGCAAGGAGGCUUUUCUCCAUGUCCUGUUGCUGCAAUAUACCUUGAGGCUGCUGUAGGCAUAUGUUAACAUCACAUUUUCCACGUUGUACUUCUGGCUGUGCUACUCUUGGCCAGCACUGCCUUGGGGAAAAUUCCAGCUCAGACGUGAAGAGAGCCACCAUUCCUGGGAUCAUCACUGCCCUGAGCACAGGCGGGGCUUCUGCUAUCCAUGUGUGCACAGCAGCAUGUGUGCGAGUGGGGAUCUUCCUCUACAAAACAAAAGCAACAAUGCUUCUAGGCACAAUAACUGACCACAGUGCGGAAGGAAAUACUGGUCUUAAAUUAGUGCUUUAAAUAAAUGAGUGCCUGUUUGAGAUCACAGGUUAAAAUAGAAGUACAAAACUCCAGGUCUAUGGAGAGCAAACCUGGCAGAACUGUGAUUUUAAGUCAGUUUAUGAGAAGAAAAGGAUUUUGCAGCCUCUGUUCUGGGAUCUGCUACAGAACUGCUAUUGAUUAUUUCCACUGCCUGUUUUGACUUUCUUGGAAGGUGCUUUAACGUGUUUGUGGCUGUGUACCACUUGUCAUGCUUUGCAAAGGGUGUGAAAACUUUGCUUGUCCUCACCUUGUGCAGCCACGAAUCCUUUUCUUCUUGCAGGCAGUCAGUGCAAGCCUGUUCUUGCUCUCUUAACUUCAGCAUCAGCAGCCAAGAGGCCAAGGUUUUAGUCCUUCCUCCUUCAGGAGACAGAAAGGGCGUGGGGCCAACUGUCCCAUUCCACCCUGGUGCUCCAAUCAGUCCUGUUGCUCUGUACAAUUUCUCCUGCUGUUGGGCUGUGCAUGAAUCCUCCUGUUCAUAUCAUUAAACUACUUUAAUUCUCUAUUAAAAGUGCAAUAGGGAGACACUCGUGGCUCAGCGUGUACCAUUGCAGUCCCAUUAAGCAUCAGCCUCUGUACCAUGACGUGAUGCUCCCCAGGUCCUCCAUGCAGCACCCAGAUCCUCUGCACCCAGCGGUGCAGCACCACUGCAUGGGACUGUCACUGAGCCAUCCUUGAGCACGGCAGGACAGAGUUGCUAAGUGCAUGCUAAUGUAGUGAUGAGUGAGAGCAAUAAGAUCAAGGUGCUUCAUGUGUGCUUUUGUAUGUGAGCUGUGUGAGCUGCAACACAGAAGUGAGAUGGGCUGCUUGUGCUGCGCUCAUUUCAGGCAGUGGGCCAGGGAGAAAAGGAAAGGGAGGGAAAUGCAAAGUUCAGAUUCAGUUGCUACUACUCAGCAGCAAUGACACGGAAGCAGGCAGCAUCUUGCCAAGGAGAGGCAAACGUGCAGAACGCCUGCACAACGCCCUGCUGGGGUACCUCCAGCUCCUGUGCUCAGCCCUGGCUGGGGCAGCUGGCCACUGCAAACCGUGAGCCAGCCAGCCAUACAAGGCUCAGUGUCAAGUCUAGCCCAGAGAGAAGUUAUGGUUCUGAUUGUAAAAAUACAAAGGGAAGCACCCUCAUGAGGCACCCGCUGCAGCACUAUGCCCAGGCCUGGGGCUCCCAGCACAGGAAGGAUGUGGAGCUGUUGUAUGGGGUCCAGAGGGCCGUGAAGAUGCUCAGAGGGCUGGAGUACAGGAGACAGGCUGAGGCAGCUGAGCUUGUUCAGCAUGGAGAAGAGACGCCAAGGAGACCUCACUGUGGCCUGACAGUACUUAAAGGGGCCUGCAGGCAAGAUGGAGAGGAACCCAUCAUCAGGGAGUACAGGGAUAGAACAAAGUGUAAUGGCUCAAAUCAAACGGGGUAGAUUUGGGUUAUACAUUAGAAAGAAAUAUUUCACAGUGGGGGUGGCUAUAUGCUGGCACAGGCUGCCCACAGAAGCUGUGGGUGAGCCAUCCCUGGAAGUGCUCGGGGCCAGGCUGGAUGGAGCUGUGGUCAGCCUGGUCCAGUGGAAGUGUCCCUGCUCAUGGCAGGAGGGCUGGGACUGGAUGAUCACUAAGGUCCCUUUCAACCCAAACCAUUUUAUGACUCAGUGAUUCAGUGAUUAUGUUAUUCUAUAAAAGCUCUCUGGGCUUUAUAACACAGGAAAUCAAACCACACCCUGCUGUUUUAUGGGAUUUUGUAUCUACAGGUCUCAGAGAAAAAGCCUUUGGUGCUUUAUCUUUUUAUAAAGAAGGAACUGAGCAGGACUUGGGGAGCAGGGGUUACUUUUGCAAGGUUCCCAAGCUAGUGGCCGUACUGGGGAGGAAAUACAAGUUUCUUUUUCUUCUGCUUAUUGCAGGCCUCCAUAAGCAAAGGGCUCCCCUGAGGUCUGAGACCUGAAAUAAUGUGAAUUGUAACGAAGAAAUAAGGAAGGAUCAACCUGGCAGCUGCCACUUCUGUGUCAAGGGCGCAUUGUUUUCCAAGCUGUUGUUCUUUGUUUUCACUUGACUCCGAGUGAACUGAUUUCUAC